CUAACAGUUUAACAGUGAAGUACAGUGCUUUGUGGUAUAGUGUCCCUUUUUUCCAAUAGGUGCUGAAUUUUGGGUUUCCAGCUUCUACAAAGAAUAGCUAGUCAACAGAACAUUGACAUCUUUGCUGCUGAUUGCCAUGUGACUCUCACCUGGUUGCCCCCAUAUUCAGCAGACCCCAUGGAUCACCUCCCUAGAACUUUCUCAGGAGAUAAGUGAGUGUCUGGACAGAUUUUUCAUGUGACAACCUUGAGGGCAUUCCCAAGCAGAGAGGCUCUAAUAGUUGUGGGGUGUUCAUCCUAAUGUAUGCUGUCUACAUCGUCUUUGGCCUCUCUUUUGACUUCACAGAGGUGUGUUUUUCAAACGCUUUUUAACAUUUCAUCUUAUAAGGUCUAUGUUUCAAUUAAAAUGUGUGCUUUUCCA